rnacentral:rRNA from 1 species
GACGAACGCUGGCGGCGUGCUUAACACAUGCAAGUCGAGCGGUAAGGCCUUUCGGGGUACACGAGCGGCGAACGGGUGAGUAACACGUGGGUGAUCUGCCCUGCACUUCGGGAUAAGCCUGGGAAACUGGGUCUAAACCGGGUAUUAACCCCCUUCGGAAGGGUGGGGGGGGGAAGGAUUUAUCGGUGAAGGAUGGGCCCGCGGCCAACCGGUUUGUUGGUGGGGUAAUGGCUUACAAAGGCGACGACGGGUAGCCGACCUGAGAGGGUGACCGGCCACACUGGGACUGAGACACGGCCCAGACUCCUACGGGAGGCAGCAGUGGGGAAUAUUGCACAAUGGGCGAAAGCCUGAUGCAGCGACGCCGCGUGAGGGAUGACGGCCUUCGGGUUGUAAACCUCUUUCAGCAGGGACGAAGCGCAAGUGACGGUACCUGCAGAAGAAGCACCGGCUAACUACGUG